GGGCCCGCACAAGCGGUGGAGCAUGUGGUUUAAUUCGAUGAUACGCGAGGAACCUUACCAGGGCUUAAAUGGGAGAUGACAGGGGCAGAGACGCCCUUUUCUUCGGACAUCUUUCAAGGUGCUGCAUGGUUGUCGUCAGCUCGUGCCGUGAGGUGUCAGGUUAAGUCCUAUAACGAGCGCAACCCCUACCGUUAGUUGCCAGCGAUUCAAGUCGGGGACUCUAACGGGACUGCCGGUGCAAACCGUGAGGAAGGUGGGGACGACGUCAAAUCAUCACGGCCCUUACGUCCUGGGCUACACACGUGCUACAAUGGUCGGUACAGAGGGAAGCUACCCCGUAAGGGGAUGCGGAUCUAUAAAACCGAUCUCAGUUCGGAUCGGGGUCUGCAACUCGACCCCGUG
rnacentral:rRNA from 1 species